rnacentral:lncRNA from 1 species
CUUUCAGAUGUAAAAAAUGAUUUGUAUCUAAUAAUUCUUUGAUAAUUCAGCUUAUCUUUCCCAUUUUUAAAGCCAUAUUUCAAUAUUGCAAGCAUACAGUGCAUUAUUUCUUAUAUGUGAUUUGUAUACCUUCUUGCAUAAGUGGAUCAAGAAACUUUAAGAUGGCUAACCUGGAGGAUACAGGAAAUGUAGGCAUUCCAGCAGCCCGCAAGAGUUUAGAAAAAAAUGACCAUUUUUGUCAACGAUUAUGCUACAAGUAUAUGUCCCAACCUUUAUCUGAGAAAAAAGGAAUGACAUAUUGCACUGAGCUGUUACUACAACUUUGUCCUUUCUGACAAAUUCUGACAAUGUCAGGACAAACUGAAGAACACAAUUGAAUACUUGUCGUGUAAUGGUAUAGCAUCGCUUUGAUGUUCAUGCUCUCGUCCAUGACUUACUGAGAUCACUUUCGCCUUCAGUCGUCGUGUAUAAGCACAUUGGGAUAUGCUCACUGUUUUAUUUUAGUUAUGCCCUUAGGAAGCAUAAUGUCAUUUUUGAAAUCCUAACUGCAUGUCUCAUAAGGCCUGUAUUCUGAUUUUUCUGUCAUACCGUCCUAACCAUUGGGGGAGAAAACACAAAAUCGGAAGUAAUCACUGCUAAAGCAGAGCAUGAGGAUUCAGCUCCAUGCCAGUCCUGCGUGAAUGCGUCUUUGGCUUUCUCAUAUUCACACAAAUUGAUUAUGCUUCCCUUUUGCUUUUUAGAAUCAUCUGAGAAACGUCUUCACUUGAAGCCUGCCAUUGAAAGGAAACAUCCCACUUGGAAAAAAGCAGUACCAAAGGGAGAUUUACAGACAUGCAAUUCAGGUAAAUUUUGCAAUAUAUAUCACUCUGGAAAGUACAGUACAUUAAAAUGUUUGAGAUGCCCACAGUCUUCUCAUUAUUUUUUCCCCAUGUUUUGGGCUGGAUUUGACAUAAGUAAUUCAGUUGUGCUUCUUGAUGUCCAUUUUGGCAAAUAAAGUGUUUGCAAGCA